rnacentral:rRNA from 1 species
UACGGGGGGGGCAAGCGUUGUCCGGAAUCAUUGGGCGUAAAGAGCGCGUAGGCGGUCCGGUAAGUCCGCUCUGAAAGUCCGGGGCUCAACCCCGGGAGGCGGGCGGAUACUGUCGGGCUAGAGUCCGGAAGAGGCGAGUGGAAUUCCUGGUGUAGCGGUGAAAUGCGCAGAUAUCAGGAGGAACACCAAUGGCGAAGGCAGCUCGCUGGGACGGUACUGACGCUGAGGCGCGAAAGCGUGGGGAGCAAACAGG